CAGAGACUGAAAGGGUGGAAAGAAAAGGUUUUGUCUAUGCAACGCAAAGAGAUUCUCUUGAAAUCAGUAGCUCAAGCAAUACAAUCCUAUGCCAUGUCUGUGUUCAAGCUACCAAAGAGUAUAUGCAAGUCAAUAACAGAUGAAAUGUCAAGCUUUUGGUGGGGUGAUGAUGAAGAUGAAAAAAUGCAUUGGUAUGCAUGGUGGAAAAUGUGCAUCCUGAAGAAGGAAGGUGGAAUGGGAUUCAGAGACUUACACAUCUUUAAUCUUGCUAUGUUAGCAAAGCAGUGUUGGCAACCACUGGUAGAAAAAGGGCCUGUUGUCCCGGUUCGUAAGGGCCUUUAG
rnacentral:rRNA from 1 species